CCCUGCAGAGGGUGGGGUGUGGCAUAGGCCUGUCGGUGAAGAAGGUCUGACUCUGGAUGCGAUGACCUGGAGCUUCCAUAGACCAGACUGAGGUGGAAAGAGAGAGUUUGCAACGUCGCUCUCUCCUUGUCUGCUGCUGCCAGACUGUCUCUGCUCCGUUUCUGCUGGGACCAAAGUCUGGGAGUUUGCAACUGAAGAGAGCCCUAGAAAGGUCUUCUAGUUUUCAUCCUCAGAGGCCACUCAACUUAGUCCACAGACACGCCGUCCCAACCACACUCCCCUCUCUAUCACCACUACACGUCAACAUGCCCGAGGUCGAAGUCCCAGCCCAGUGCCUGGCUCCUAAAGCAGAGAUGGACAAGUGUGUCCAGGGGAAAGGAGCAGAGGCCUGCAAGGACCUUAUGGAAGCCUUCCAGACAUGUGUGAAGAGUGCUUCUUCGUGAGCGAGAUCCAUGCUUCCACAUCACAAGUCCAUCAUUUUGGUUUUUGAGGGGUUGAGUCUACCAAUUUCCCAGCAUUCCCUGAUGCACAUUGCACUGGACUAAACCAUCUUUGGGACGGAAGUGGGGGUGUUGAUCUUCAGGAGGCCAUGGCAAGCCCCCCUCUUAAUCCUGCCAUACCAUGUUUGUGUCCCUAUUAUAGUUCAUGUAUAUAUGUGCCCAAAAAAUUGAUUUUAAAUGUCAUAUUGUCUGUGUACAUGCACUGUACAUGUCAUUUCAUUAUGAAUUAAGUUUAUGCACUGGCAGUAGCCUAAGUGAAUGCAAUUUCAGAGCGAUAUGUCUUUUAAUAGGGUGUCUGGUUCUAUAAUAAUAAAAGACUUAAAACAA